rnacentral:rRNA from 1 species
AGUGAACGCUGGCGGUAGGCCUAACACAUGCAAGUCGAACGGCAGCACAGUAAGAGCUUGCUCUUACGGGUGGCGAGUGGCGGACGGGUGAGGAGUACAUCGGAACCUACUUUUUCGUGGGGGAUAACGUAGGGAAACUUACGCUAAUACCGCAUACGACCUACGGGUGAAAGCAGGGGAUCUUCGGACCUUGCGCGAUUGAAUGAGCCGAUGUCGGAUUAGCUAGUUGGCGGGGUAAAGGCCUACCAAGGCGACGAUCCGUAGCUGGUCUGAGAGGAUGAUCAGCCACACUGGAACUGAGACACGGUCCAGACUCCUACGGGAGGCAGCAGUGGGGAAUAUUGGACAAUGGGCGCAAGCCUGAUCCAGCCAUACCGCGUGGGUGAAGAAGGCCUUCGGGUUGUAAAGCCCUUUUGUUGGGAAAGAAAAGCAGCAGGUUAAUACCCCGCUGUUCUGACGGUACCCAAAGAAUAAGCACCGGCUAACUUCGUG